rnacentral:snRNA from 12 species
AAGUGUUACAGCUCUUUUAGAAUUUGUCUAGCAGGUCUUCCGGUCCUUACCGGAAGGCCCAA